rnacentral:rRNA from 1 species
GACGAACGCUGGCGGCGUGCUUAACACAUGCAAGUCGAACGAUGAAGUUCCUUCGGGAAUGGAUUAGUGGCGAACGGGUGAGGAACACGUGAGAAACCUGCCUUUCAUUUUGGGAUAACUCCGGGAAACCGGGGCUAAAACCGAAUACUCCGUCUCGGCGGCAUCGCUGAGCCGGGAAAAAAUUUUGAUGAAAGAUGGUCUCGCGGCCUAUCAGCUAGUUGGUGAGGUAAUGGCUCACCAAGGCAACGACGGGUAGCCGGCCUGAGAGGGCGACCGGCCACACUGGGACUGAGACACGGGCCAGACUCCGACGGGAGGCAGCAGUGGGGAAUAUUGGGCAAUGGGCGCAAGCCUGACCCAGAGACGCCGCGUGAGGGAUGAAGGCCUAUGGGUUGUAAACCUCUUUCAGUUGGGAAGAAGCGAAAGUGACGGUACCUAAAGAAGAAGCACCGGCUAACUAUGUGCCAGCCGCCGCCGUAA